rnacentral:rRNA from 1 species
UACGUAGGGGGCAAGCGUUGUCCGGAAUCAUUGGGCGUAAAGCGCGCGUAGGCGGCCCGGUAAGUCCGCUGUAAAAGUCCAGGGCUCAACCCUGGAAAGCCGGUGGAUACUGUCGGGCUAGAGUCCGGAAGAGGCGAGUGGAAUUCCUGGUGUAGCGGUGGAAUGCGCAGAUAUCAGGAAGAACACCAACGGCGAAGGCAGCUCGCUGGGACGGAACUGACGCUAAGGCGCGAAAGCGUGGGGAGCGAACAGG